rnacentral:pre_miRNA from 1 species
GAUUUCAAUUGAAAAAGUCAUCAACAACAAAAUUGUAUAACUCAUCAAGAUCUAAAACUUUUAUUUUUGUCAUUUCUUCAUCCGACAAAGUAUUAGUAAUAUUGUUCACAAAAUUUACAUAUAUGUGCUAUAGUUUAUAAAACCAGAUAAGAGAUACGUCAAUUUUGUGAACAAUGUUAGUAUUACUUUAUCGGAUGAAGAAAUGAUCAAAAUAAAAUUUUUGGAUUUUGAUGAGUUAUUCAACUUUGUUGUUGAUAACUUUUUCAGUUGAAAUC